UAAACAAAUAAAUUUACAAAAAAAAAGGCUCAAUGGUGCGUGGGGCCUGACAAGCCAGAUCUGAUUCCCCGGGCCACACAGGUAGGGGAGAACUGAUUCCCACAGCCAGACUUGCAUGUCAGAGAGGCCCCAGCUCCUCCCGCUUUCCUAACCCACGCUGGGGUUACAGGUUGCACUCCACCACACCUAACUUCUUAUGUGGGUACUGGGGCCUCCUCUUUGCAUAGCAAGCACUUUACCCAGGGGAGCCAUUGCUCCAGCCACGCCCCACCCCCCACCCCCAGCUAUGUAUUUUCAAGAGCUGCGUGUAGGUCGGGUAGGUGAGACGCCUGUGAGUCAGGACAGCAAGGCCUGUGCUACAGCCCACCUCUACGUAGAGCGGGCUCCCGUACCAGCCCAGGCCUUAACCGCCGUGGCCUCCCCCUCCCCCAGGCCCUUUGUUCUUCGCUACAGCUGCUCAGCAAAUUCCUUGAUUUUAAAUUAUGAUCACAGGUUGGAGAGCUACUUAAAAUAAUCUUGCCAAAUGUUCCAUCUCUGCGCUGAUGAAUACAGUGGAGGAGAAAUUUCAAGAGGGGGAGAGGAAAAAAAAAAACAUUAAGAAUUCACUUUGUUCAGGGGGAAAGGAAAAAAAAAAAAAAACAGUCACAGCUUUGGUUUACAUCUAAGGAUUCUCGCGCGCGCCCCCGCCCCGCCCCGGAAGUUGAUUGUGUGCUGACCUUCAGUGAGCCAGUGAGCCCUGUGCCAGCAAAGGUGGGAGAGGGAGCUGCUGGUGUGUAAGACCUGCUGCAGAUGCGGGGAGCAAAGAAAGGAUCCCUGGCCCUUGUUGGAGCCUCAGUUUUUUUCACCUGCUGAAUGGACACAGAUCUGUCCAACUCACUAGUUGAUUUCAAGGAUGAGACGAACCUGUCCCAUAGCCAAGAAAACUGAGGCCAAAGAUGUCUGAAGUCAGAGCCAUUUAUCUUCCAUCCCCCGCAGGGGUGUCCACUGUGCCUGCCCCGGUCAUAAUGGCUUUCUGCUAAGGAUGUCACCACACCUUCUUGAUGGAGACUUGCCACCUGCCCUGGGCAACCAGCCCUUCUGAAAGCGAGCUCGAUUCCAAACUCAGGGUUAAUGAUAAAACUGAACAACGUAAGGCCUGGCCUUCCCUCUCCCUCUUUAUCAACAUGUGACUUAGGUUUGAGUGCCAAGCUAAACCUUUCAAGAGCCACAUCCUCGGCGGUGACUUAUUAAAGGGUAAAUCAAAGUUUGCUGGGAGAGAAAAGCAAAUACCCAAUACUCAGCAUGCCAGGCUGAUCCCGAGCCCACUUCCUGGUUCCACUGUUGACUUGGGCUGUAAUUCUAGAUAAGUGUGAAUACGUUCACCACCCUGGGCCCAGAGGGCAAGCCUGGGAAGAGAGCCCGGGACAGAGCCUGUCCCUGCCCCUUACACACACACACACACCAGGACCUGACAAGAAGCUGGCUCUCACGGUUUGCCUCAGAGGGGAAAACCUCAGACAAAAUCAAGGCAGGUACAGAGCUCUCUACACAGCCUCUUGUCCUUGUGUCUGUGUUUGUGAAGAAGUGGGUCACCCACAUGUCACGUCACCAAUAGAACCUUCCCGUCCUUUGGCUCUGCUCACCCAUAAUUAGCGGAACUGAGGAGGAGAGGAGCUGCACUUUGGGCCUCAGAUGGCAGGGCAGAGAAAUCAGAGCAAAGUUGACAAGAGUCAACCGUAAUCACAUAGUAAGUGUUUUUUUUUUUUUUUUUCAAAGAAACAAAUAAAAAACAGCCAGAAAGUGGGUCAGCGCUUACAGUAAGGUCAGAGGCAGGAAACUGGGACAAACUUCAAGUCCUGAGAGGAGAAACAGGAGUUGUGUUUUCUGAAUACAGACUUGUGCUAUCUUUGGGAUUUUACCCCCUGCUGAUGCUUUCUCCUUUGCCUCCUGAAUACACAGGGCCUUAGUUCCAAUACUCCAUCUUCCCAGAGGCUGAAGACAAAAGGCACUUAAAAAGACUUUACGGAGAUCCAGGCAUGGUAGUGUAUGCCUGUAACCCAGAAGCAGAGGGGGGAUCAGGAAUCAGGGGUCUUCCUCAGCUAUACAGCACUUUCCAGGGCAGCUUGGCUACAUAAAAUCUUGUCUCAAAAAAAAAAAAAAAA
rnacentral:sRNA from 1 species